rnacentral:rRNA from 1 species
AUGAGGGCCCUUUUCUGGAACCUCCACGGCUUCGGCCAUGACGGCCGUCGCCGCCAGCUCAUCGAGUACAUCCGGGACGAACAUAUUGACAUUAUUGCCAUCCAAGAAACCCUUAGAGUCGAGUUCUCCCUACAGGAGCUGGAACAUCUGAGCCCCCACCUCUUCGCGUGGCACUGGCUCCCUUCUAGCGGGACCUCAGGCCACUCGGGUGGCAUCCUUCUUGGGGUUAAGGAUGCCACUUUCGAGGUGGGCGGCAUGGAUAGAGGGGAGUUUUUCGUUAGCAUGGAGAUCUUCGAGCGGGCUUUGAACUUCAAAUGGGAGGUCAUUGCGGUCUACGGUCCGGCUGACCACCGCCGCUCCCCGGCCUUCCUUGCCGAGUUGCAGCUGAAGAUCUCCAACUCCCCACAUCCUGUUUUGGUGGGGGGCGACUUCAACCUCAUC